UACGGAGGGUGCGAGCGUUGUCCGGAAUCACUGGGCGUAAAGGGCGCGUAGGCGGCGCGGGUAGUCAUCGGCGAAAGCUCAGGGCUCAACUCUGAGUCGGCCGGUGAUACUCCCGUGCUCGAGCACUGUAGAGGCAGGUGGAAUUCCGGGUGUAGCGGUGGAAUGCGUAGAGAUCCGGAAGAACACCGGUGGCGAAGGCGGCCUGCUGGGCAGUAGCUGACGCUGAUGCGCGACAGCGUGGGGAGCAAACAGG
rnacentral:rRNA from 1 species